rnacentral:rRNA from 1 species
CAUGGCGACUUACCAAACCAAGGCAAACUCCGAAUACCGAUGAGUACAGCUUGGGAGACAGAGCACCGGGUGCUAACGUCCGGACUCAAGAGGGAAACAACCCAGACCGCCAGCUAAGGUCCCUAAAACGGGCUAAGUGGGAAACGAAGUGGGAAGGCUAAAACAGUCAGGAUGUUGGCUUAGAAGCAGCCAUCAUUUAAAGAAAGCGUAACAUCUCACUGGUCUAA